rnacentral:rRNA from 1 species
GAUCCUGGCUCAGAACGAACGCUGGCGGCGUGCCUAACACAUGCAAGUCGAGCGCGAAAAGGGCAGCCUGAGUAGAGCGGCGCACGGGUGCGUAACACGUGGGUAAUCUGCCUUUGAGUCGAGGAUAACCUUCCGAAAGGUUGGCUAAUACUCGGUAAGCUUACGGAGACUUUGGUCUCUGUGAGAAAAGUAGGCCUCUAUUUAUAAGCUUACGCUUGAAGAUGAGCCCGCGGCCC